rfam:Stegodyphus mimosarum contig105408, whole genome shotgun sequence.
GCCUUCGUGGUGUAGUGGUCAGCACGCUGGACGCCUAUUCCAGAAGUCCGUGGUUCGAAUCCCGUCUAGGGUA